GUGGGGAAUCUUGCGCAAUGGGCGAAAGCCUGACGCAGCCAUGCCGCGUGAAUGAUGAAGGUCUUAGGAUUGUAAAAUUCUUUCACCGGGGACGAUAAUGACGGUACCCGGAGAAGAAGCUCCGGCUAACUUCGUGCCAGCAGCCGCGGUAAUACGAAGGGGGCUAGCGUUGCUCGGAAUUACUGGGCGUAAAGGGCGCGUAGGCGGACAGCUUAGUCAGAGGUGAAAGCCCAGGGCUCAACCUUGGAAUUGCCUUUGAUACUGGCUAUCUUGAGUAUGGAAGAGGUAUGUGGAACUCCGAGUGUAGAGGUGAAAUUCGUAGAUAUUCGGAAGAACACCAGUGGCGAAGGCGACAUACUGGUCCAUUACUGACGCUGAGGCUCGAAAGCGUGGGGAGCAAACAGGAUUAGAUACCCCAGUAGUCC
rnacentral:rRNA from 1 species